rfam:Stegodyphus mimosarum contig41378, whole genome shotgun sequence.
GCCUUCGUGGUGUAGUGGUCAGCACGCUGUGCGCGUAUUAUAGAGGUCCGUGGUUCGAGUCCCGGCGAGGGCA